CCUACGGGUGGCAGCAGUGGGGAAUAUUGGACAAUGGGGGGAACCCUGAUCCAGCGACGCCGCGUGAGUGAAGAAGUAUCUCGGUAUGUAAAGCUCUAUCAGCAGGGAAGAAAGGAAUGACGGUACUUGACUAAGAAGCCUCGGCUAACUACGUGCCAGCAGCCGCGGCAAUACGUAGGGGGCAAGCGUUAUCCGGAUUUACUGGGUGUAAAGGGAGCGUAGGCGGUUACGCAAGUCUGGAGUGAAAGGCGGGGGCCCAACCCCCGGACUGCUUUGGAAACUGUAUAACUGGAGUGCAGGAGAAGUAAGUGGAAUGCCUGGUGUAGCGGUGAAAUGCGUAGAUAUUAGGAGGAACACCAGUGGCGAAGGCGGCUUACUGGACUGUAACUGACGUUGAGGCUCGAAAGCGUGGGGAGCAAACAGGAUUAGAUACCCUAGUAGUC
rnacentral:rRNA from 1 species